AUUGAACGCUGGCGGCAUGCCUUACACAUGCAAGUCGAACGGCAGCACGGGAGCAAUCCUGGUGGCGAGUGGCGAACGGGUGAGUAAUAUAUCGGAACGUGCCCAGUCGUGGGGAUAACGUAGCGAAAGCUACGCUAAUACCGCAUACGAUCUAUGGAUGAAAGCGGGGGAUCGCAAGACCUCGCGCGAUUGGAGCGGCCGAUAUCAGAUUAGGUAGUUGGUGAGGUAAAGGCUCACCAAGCCGACGAUCUGUAGCUGGUCUGAGAGGACGACCAGCCACACUGGGACUGAGACACGGCCCAGACUCCUACGGGAGGCAGCAGUGGGGAAUUUUGGGACAAUGGGCGCAAGCCUGAUCCAGCAAUGCCGCGUGCAGGAUGAAGGCCUUCGGGUU
rnacentral:rRNA from 1 species